UACGGAGGGUGCAAGCGUUAUCCGGAUUCACUGGGUUUAAAGGGUGCGUAGGCGGGUUAUUAAGUCAGUGGUGAAAGCCUACAGCUUAACUGUAGAAUUGCCAUUGAUACUGAUAAUCUUGAGUAUGAUUGAGGUGGGCGGAAUGUGUCAUGUAGCGGUGAAAUGCUUAGAUAUGACACAGAACACCGAUUGCGAAGGCAGCUCACUAAGCCAUAACUGACGCUGAUGCACGAAAGCGUGGGGAGCAAACAGG
rnacentral:rRNA from 1 species